GCCUAGUUAGCUUAGUUGGUAGUGCGUCUGCCUUGUAAGCGCUAGGCCGCGGGUUCGAUUCCUGCCCGCGGCG
rfam:Asian citrus Psyllid, Diaphorina citri - Florida Strain, whole genome shotgun sequence.